AUCAUAAGUAUCAAGUGCUUAAUGACCAAGCGUUUGUAUCGUUUGUACAUAAAGAUAAAGUGCAACUCUUUAAUAUCAUGC
rnacentral:tRNA from 1 species